GAUGAACGCUGGCGGCGUGCCUAACACAUGCAAGUCGAGCGAUUCUCUUCGGAGAAGAGCGGCGGACGGGUGAGUAACGCGUGGGUAACCUGCCCUGUACACACGGAUAACAUACCGAAAGGUAUGCUAAUACGAGAUAACAUACUUUUAUCGCAUGGUAGAAGUAUCAAAGCUUUUGCGGUACAGGAUGGACCCGCGUCUGAUUAGCUAGUUGGUAAGGUAACGGCUUACCAAGGCGACGAUCAGUAGCCGACCUGAGAGGGUGAUCGGCCACAUUGGAACUGAGACACGGUCCAAACUCCUACGGGAGGCAGCCGUGGGGAAUAUUGCACAAUGGGCGAAAGCCUGAUGCAGCAACGCCGCGUGAGCGAUGAAGGCCUUCGGGUCGUAAAGCUCUGUCCUCAAGGAAAAUAAUGACGGUACUUGAGGAGGAAGCCCCGGCUAACUACGUGCCAGCAGCCGCCGUAACAC
rnacentral:rRNA from 1 species